rnacentral:rRNA from 1 species
GAGUUUGAUCCUGGUUCAGAUUGAACGCUUGCGGGAUGCCUUACACAUGCAAGUCGAACGGCAGCACGGACUUCGGUCUGGUGGCGAGUGGCGAACGGGUGAGUAAUGUAUCGGAACGUGCCCAGUAGCGGGGGAUAACUACGCGAAAGCGUAGCUAAUACCGCAUACGCUCUACGGGGGAAAGCAGGGGAUCGUAAGACCUUGCACUAUUGGAGCGGCCGAUAUCGGAUUAGCUAGUUGGUGGGGUAACGGCUCACCAAGGCGACGAUCCGUAGCUGGUUUGAGAGGACGACCAGCCACACUGGGACUGAGACACGGCCCAGACUCCUACGGGAGGCAGCAGUGGGGAAUUUUGGACAAUGGGGGAAACCCUGAUCCAGCCAUCCCGCGUGUGCGAUGAAGGCCUUCGGGUUGUAAAGCACUUUUGGCAGGAAAGAAGCGUCAUGGGUUAAUACCCCGUGAAACUGACGGUACCUGCAGAAUAAGCACCGGCUAACUACGUGCCAGCAGCCGCGGUAAUACGUAGGGUGCAAGCGUUAAUCGGAAUUACUGGGCGUAAAGCGUGCGCAGGCGGUUCGGAAAGAAAGAUGUGAAAUCCCAGAGCUUAUCUUUGGAACUGCAUUUUUAACUACCGGGCUAGAGU